AGGGAAAGCAUGCCAUUGUCUUGGCCAGGAGUAGGGUGACUGUCAUCUUAAUGAUUCAGGUAUUCUCAGCAGGUUUCACUAGUGUGGAGAUGGAUUCUUCAUGGUGUCAUAGCCUGAAGUCAUCAAAUGUGUGUUGCAUUUAAGUCAUUGCCCUAGUUUUGACUCUGUAGUUAGCUAUAUAUAUUUUUUGAGUAUAAGCAAGGUUGAGAAUGUGUAGGAAGAUCUGUCUUCAGAAGCAGAGUGAACACGUUGUGUCAUCACAAGCCCUCUGUCCCUAAUCCUCAUAACAAUACAUGUUUCAUUAUAAACUGGGUGCAUGCUGAGUCAUUUCAGUCAUGUCUGACUCUCUGCAACCCCAUGGACUGUAGCCUGCCAGGCUCCUCUGUCCAUAGGAUUUUCCAGGCAGGAAAACCGGAGUGGGGUGCUUUCUCUGUUCAUUAUCAACUCAUUAGUUAGAAUUCCAGGUUAUGCAUUAAAGUUGGUAAGCUCAGUUAAUAUAAGUUAAUGUUACAGAGACAGAUUCAUGCUCAGUGUGCUGACAAAAUCAGAUGUUUGAGCUUUCUAGGGAGCAGGCUAGGCCUUGGACAUGGAAAUUUACCAAGGUAAGUCCAGCCUGAGAAGCUUCUUGGCAGUGUGCCAUGUGACCUGUUCUGUUAACACUUGCACCUGAAUAUAUGUUCAUUUUCCUUACUAUUCAACAUUAUUUACUUAAACUUUAUAGAACCCUGUCUAUUUUCUUGUUUUUCUUACCAGAGGGAAGAACCUUUGAAAGCAGAUAGUUCUUUUUUAUUUUUUAGCAUGUAGCACAUUACUGGGCAUAAAGCAUGUAUUUAAUAUUUAUUGGAAAAAAACAAAUAUAUUAAUUGAGGUUAAUUGCUACACAUAUUUAACCAUAUGUACAAGGGAAAAUAUAGAUAGAUCUUGGAACAUCCUCUUUUGGAUUAUUUAUACUUAUGUUAAUCUAAUAAUCAAAUAAAUACAUUUAUAAACUAUUAUUCUAUCUUCUCAUCCCCUGUACAGCUCUCUGGGUGAGCACUGCUGUAGUGUUAUUAGAAGUGGGUGAUGUUUACGGUGAUCUCUGUUCUGAUGUAGUAUCAUUUGUAAGAAAUGACAGGACUGGGUGGAUGUAGCUAAGUGUAGCUAAGGUAAGAAAUCAGUCUAUCGGCUUUAAGUCUGUUCCCAUGACAUUUUCUUUUGUUGUUUUAAAAGUCUACUCUUCCAUAAAAAAAUAUGUAAAAUGAAUGCAUCAAGAGCUCAAGAAUGAGGAGAGUGUUGUCAUUUUCGCCCCCUUUUCAAUAAAACUGAUUAAAACAGAUGGAGGAGAAAGGUAAAUACUUGUGAUCUCCUUUCAGUCGGCCUCUGUUGAACUCACUUGGCAUGAAAUAAGGCCUGCCUGCAGAGAAGGGUCCUUCAGGAGACCCCUCAGGUUUCUCCUUCAUCCAACGGGAUUUCUUUUUUACUCUGAGUAACGCUUUUGUGCUCUCGGGAGGAAAACAGCUAACAAGGUUAGAUGUGAACAAUGGGCUCCACAUGUAUCGUGCAAAUUUCUCAAAUUUCAUUUGUACAAAACUGCUCUAUGACAUUUCCUCCACUCCAGCUAUGGUCUGUACCUCUGGGGAAUGUGGGCACUGUGGCUAGGUCAGCCCUACAAUGAAGCUGCUUUCUUGGUCUCAAUAGGCACUUUAUGCCCAUUCAAAAAGAAACACUUUGAAGGCUCGCUCUCUCUCCAUCUCAGGGCAUGUGAACAAUGCUGUGCAGAGAGAAAGAGCCAGCUUGAGUUGAGCCCAAGGGAAUCAGGCUAACCUUGCUGAGGGAUCUUAGAACUGGCUCUAAGGCUGAUUGGGGGACACAG
rnacentral:lncRNA from 1 species